AGCAGGUUCAAUAAAACUCUGAGUCUAACCCUGAACUCUAGUUGAUCUACUCUGAGAUAGGAAACUCUGUGUUUUCGGUUCCACAACAGCUGAUUUGAGUUAGUUAAAUCAACUUGGAGUAGUUUCACCUGGGGUUAAGUGCGUGCACCACAACUUUAAAAAGACAGCAUCAAUGGAGCCCCGAUUCGACGAGUCACCAUGGCAAAGGAGGAGAAGAAGAGGGCGGCAUUUUUCACCCCACUGGAACUGGACAUCCUUAUUCGCUCAUAUGGCGAGUUUGAGCAUGUUUUUAAAAAAAAAAUGCAACACCGCUGCAGGUGCCAAACAGAGGGAGACGGCAUGGGAGAACAUUGCGGCUCGGGUCAAUGCGUGCAAUCACGCGGGGGAGAAGCGCACCUGGCUGCAGCUUAAGAUGGAAAUAUAAAAACAUUGUUCAAACAGCCAACAGAAAGAAAGCAGAUGCCCGUAAAACGGGUGGCGGCCGAGCACCGCCACCUCUAACGGAGGCAGAGGCGCUGGCCCUGAGCCAGAAUUUUGGAAGGCCAGCGACUGAGGGAAUCCCUGGAGGGAGCUCAUCCUCUGAGCCCACCCCCCCAAGACACA